UACGUAGGGUGCGAGCGUUGUCCGGAAUUAUUGGGCGUAAAGAGCUUGUAGGCGGUUUGUCGCGUCUGCCGUGAAAAUCCGGGGCUCAACCCCGGACUUGCAGUGGGUACGGGCAGACUAGAGUGUGGUAGGGGAGACUGGAAUUCCUGGUGUAGCGGUGAAAUGCGCAGAUAUCAGGAGGAACACCGGUGGCGAAGGCGGGUCUCUGGGCCGAUACUGACGCUGAGGAGCGAAAGCGUGGGGAGCGAACAGG
rnacentral:rRNA from 1 species